rnacentral:rRNA from 1 species
UUAAAGAAAGCGUAAUAGCUCACUGGUCGAGUCGGCCUGCGCGGAAGAUGUAACGGGGCUAAGUAGUAAACCGAAGCUGCGGCAAUAUACUUUUGUAUAUUGGGUAGGGGAGCGUUCUGUAAGCGGUUGAAGGUGUGUGGUAACGCAUGCUGGACGUAUCAGAAGUGCGAAUGCUGACAUGAGUAACGAUAAAGGGGGUGAAAAACCUCCUCGCCGGAAGACCAAGGGUUCCUGUCCAACGUUAAUCGGGGCAGGGUAAGUCGACCCCUAAGGCGAGGCCGAAAGGCGUAGUCGAUGGGAAACGGGUUAAUAUUCCCGUACUUCUUACAAUUGCGAUGGGGGGACGGAGAAGGCUAGGUGGGCCUGGCGACGGUUGUCCAGGUUCAAGUGCGUAGGCUUAAGAGUUAGGUAAAUCCGGCUCUUUUUAAGGCUGAGACACGACGUCGAGCA